GAGUGAGUGGCGAACUGGUGAGUAACACGUGGGAAACCUGCCCAGAAGCGGGGGAUAACACCUGGAAACAGAUGCUAAUACCGCAUAACAACUUGGACCGCAUGGUCCGAGUUUGAAAGAUGGCUUCGGCUAUCACUUUUGGAUGGUCCCGCGGCGUAUUAGCUAGAUGGUGRGGUAACGGCUCACCAUGGCAAUGAUACGUAGCCGACCUGAGAGGGUAAUCGGCCACAUUGGGACUGAGACACGGCCCAAACUCCUACGGGAGGCAGCAGUAGGGAAUCUUCCACAAUGGACGAAAGUCUGAUGGAGCAACGCCGCGUGAGUGAAGAAGGGUUUCGGCUCGUAAAACUCUGUUGUUAAAGAAGAACAUAUCUGAGAGUAACUGUUCAGGUAUUGACGGUAUUUAACCAGAAAGCCACGGCUAACUACGUGCCAGCAGCCGCGGUAAUACGUAGGUGGCAARCGUUGUCCGGAUUUAUUGGGCGUAAAGCGAGCGCAGGCGGUUUUUUAAGUCUGAUGUGAAAGCCUUCGGCUCAACCGAAGAAGUGCAUCGGAAACUGGGAAACUUGAGUGCAGAAGAGGACAGUGGAACUCCAUGUGUAGCGGUGAAAUGCGUAGAUAUAUGGAAGAACACCAGUGGCRAAGGCGGCUGUCUGGUCUGUAACUGACGCUGAGGCUCGAAAGUAUGGGUAGCAAACAGGAUUAGAUACCCUGGUAGUCCAUACCGUAAACGAUGAAUGCUAAGUGUUGGAGGGUUUCCGCCCUUCAGUGCUGCAGCUAACGCAUUAAGCAUUCCGCCUGGGGAGUACGGCCGCAAGGCUGAAACUCAAAGGAAUUGACGGGGGCCCGCACAAGCGGUGGAGCAUGUGGUUUAAUUCGAAGCUACGCGAAGAACCUUACCAGGUCUUGACAUACUAUGCAAAUCUAAGAGAUUAGACGUUCCCUUCGGGGACAUGGAUACAGGUGGUGCAUGGUUGUCGUCAGCUCGUGUCGUGAGAUGUUGGG
rnacentral:rRNA from 1 species